rnacentral:misc_RNA from 1 species
GAUGAAGAACGUAGCGAAAUGCGAUAAGUAAUGUGAAUUGCAGAAUUCAGUGAAUCAUCGAAUCUUUGAACGCAUCUUGCGCUCCUUGGUAUUCUGAGGAGCAUGCCUGUUUGAGUGUCAUUAAAUUCUCAACUACACUGACUUUGAAUUGGUGUGGCUUGGAUUUGGGGGGAAAAUUGUUGUGGGCUUUUUGUAUAGUCUGCUCCCCUGAAAUUGAUUUGCGGUACCUUUGUGGAACUGUCUACAGGUGUGAUAAUUAUCUACAUCUUAGACAUCUGCUGGAAUGCUGCUUUCUAAACCUUACUUGUAUUGACAAUCUUGACCUCAAAUCAGGUAGGACUACCCGCUGAACUUAAGCAUAUCAAUAAGCGGAGGA